rnacentral:rRNA from 1 species
AUUGAACGCUGGCGGCAUGCUUUACACAUGCAAGUCGAACGGCAGCGCGGGCUUCGGCCUGGCGGCGAGUGGCGAACGGGUGAGUAAUGCAUCUGAACGUGCCCAGUAGUGGGGGAUAGCCCGGCGAAAGCCGGAUUAAUACCGCAUACGACCUGAGGGUGCAAGCGGGGGACCGAAAGGCCUCGCGCUAUUGGAGCGGCCGAUGUCGGAUUAGCUAGUUGGUGGGGUAAAGGCUUACCAAGGCGACGCUCCGUAGCUGGUCUCAGAGGACGACCAGCCACACUGGGAGGGAGAAACGGCCAAGACUCCUACGGGAGGCAGCAGUGGGGAAUUUUGGACAAUGGGGGCAACCCUGAUCCAGCCAUGCCGCGUGCGGGAAGAAGGCCUUCGGGUUGUAAAGCGCUUUUGUUCGGGAAGAAAUCCUCUGGGCUAAUACCCCGGGGGGAUGACGGUACCGGAAGAAUAAGCACCGGCUAACUACGUG